GUGAUCUAUGCCUAAGGUAGAAAAGCCUUAGUAUUUAAAAAAAAAUCCAAAUGUUGUAAACAGUAAAUUUAUAAAUAUAACCAUAUCAAUGACAAUUCAUGUCAGAACAAAAAUUGCCGACUACUGGGCUUGUGAUACCCUCGGGGAAAUAAAUCUCCACCAGCAGUGGCAUCGACCCAGUGGUUGUAAAUAAACUCAUCAUAGAUACCAGGAC
rnacentral:lncRNA from 1 species